rnacentral:rRNA from 1 species
GACGAACGCUGGCGGCGUGCUUAACACAUGCAAGUCGAACGGAAAGGCCCCUUUGGGGGUACUCGAGUGGCGAACGGGUGAGUAACACGUGAGUAACCUGCCCUUUACUUCGGGAUAACUUCAGGAAACUGGGGCUAAUACCGGAUAGGAAUCCUUGCUGCAUGGUGGGGGUUGGAAAGCUUCGGCGGUUUUGGAUGGACUCGCGGCCUAUCAGCUUGUUGGUGGGGUAGUGGCUUACCAAGGCUUUGACGGGUAGCCGGCCUGAGAGGGCGACCGGCCACAUUGGGACUGAGAUACGGCCCAGACUCCUACGGGAGGCAGCAGUGGGGAAUAUUGCACAAUGGGCGGAAGCCUGAUGCAGCAACGCCGCGUGCGGGAUGACGGCCUUCGGGUUGUAAACCGCUUUCAGCAGGGGCGAAGCUUGUGGUGACGGUACCUGCAGAAGAAGCACCGGCUAACUACGUG